CUGCGAGUGAAGCGGGAAAAGCUCAAAUUUAAAAUCUGACGGUUUUACCGUCCGAGUUGUAAUCUGGAGAAGCGUUUUCCGCGUUGGACUGUGUACAAGUCUCUUGGAACAGAGCGUCAUAGAGGGUGAGAAUCCCGUCCAUGCCACAGACUCCCAAUGCUUUGUGAUACGCUCUCGAAGAGUCGAGUUGUUUGGGAAUGCAGCUCAAAAUGGGUGGUAAGCUCCAUCUAAAGCUAAAUAUUGGCGAGAGACCGAUAGCGAACAAGUACCGUGAGGGAAAGAUGAAAAGCACUUUGGAAAGAGAGUUAAACAGUACGUGAAAUUGUUGAAAGGGAAACGCUGGACGUCAGUCGCGUCUUACUGGACUCAGCCUUGCCUCGGCUUGGUGUAUUUCCUGUGAGACGGGUCAACAUCGAUUUCGACCGGUGGACAAGGGGGUAGGGAAUGUGGCACGCCUCGGCGUGUGUUAUAGCCCUGCCUCGUAUGCAUCGGUGGGGAUCGAGGCCCGCAGCGCGCCUUUUUGGCCGGAGGUUCGCCUCACGUAUCGCGCUUAGGAUGUUGGCAUAAUGGCGUUCAGCGA
rnacentral:rRNA from 1 species